rnacentral:lncRNA from 12 species
UAAAAAGAAACACCCUGAAAGGCAGAUUAUUUAUUUUUUUUAAAUUUUAUUUCUAGGAGAAGAUGCUGAGGGAUGUGUCAACCACUCUUCAAGAUCAUCCCAGGAAAGCAACUAAAAGGAGCCAGAAAUUAGCCUUAGAAGCAGAGAAUGGCUAUGGGGAGAGGAUUCUGCUUUCCAGACUAAGUCCUCCCUGAUAUAAAUCUGUCCCAUUGGCUCUGAUUUUAUCAGAUCAGUGCAGCAGGAAAAGCACAAGUGUCAACAAAGCAGGUAAGAGAUCCCCACCGGUUGUGUGCCCAAAUAUUACAAUCAAAGCAUUUCCAUCAGCCAUGUGUUCUUUUUCAGGGAGGAGGGGGACAUCAGGAAGGCUCCUACUCCUUGCUGUGUUGCCAAAUGAUGGAAAUGUGAAAGCUGCCA